GUCUACAGCAAUACCACACUGAAUCCACCUGACCUCGUCUGAUCUUAGAGGUUAAAAAUGGACAAGACUGCUUAUUAUGUGGAUAAGGAAAAAGUAAAAGUCACUUGGAUGGAUACU
rnacentral:rRNA from 1 species